CUGAUCCAGCCAUGCCGCGUGCGGGAAGAAGGCCUUCGGGUUGUAAACCGCUUUUGUCAGGGAAGAAACGCUCCGGGCUAAUACCCUGGGGUAAUGACGGUACCUGAAGAAUAAGCACCGGCUAACUACGUGCCAGCAGCCGCGGUAAUACGUAGGGUGCAAGCGUUAAUCGGAAUUACUGGGCGUAAAGCGUGCGCAGGCGGUUAUGCAAGACAGAUGUGAAAUCCCCGGGCUCAACCUGGGAACUGCAUUUGUGACUGCAUGGCUAGAGUGCGGCAGAGGGGGAUGGAAUUCCGCGUGUAGCAGUGAAAUGCGUAGAUAUGCGGAGGAACACCGAUGGCGAAGGCAAUCCCCUGGGCCUGCACUGACGCUCAUGCACGAAAGCGUGGGGAGCAAACAGGAUUAGAUACCCUGGUAGUCCACGCCCUAAACGAUGUCAACUGGUUGUUGGGAGGGUUUCUUCUCAGUAACGAAGCUAACGCGUGAAGUUGACCGCCUGGGGAGUACGGCCGCAAGGUUGAAACUC
rnacentral:rRNA from 1 species